rnacentral:rRNA from 1 species
UACGUAGGGACCAAGCGUUGUUCGGAUUUACUGGGCGUAAAGGGCGCGUAGGCGGUGCGGUAAGUCACUUGUGAAAUCUCUGAGCUUAACUCAGAACGGCCAAGUGAUACUGCAGUACUAGAGUGCGGAAGGGGCAAUCGGAAUUCUUGGUGUAGCGGUGAAAUGCGUAGAUAUCAGGAAGAACACCGGUGGCGAAAGCGCUCUGCUAGGCCGCAACUGACACUGAGGGACGAAAGCUAGGGGAGCGAAUGGG